rnacentral:rRNA from 1 species
CACGCCCUAAACGAUGAAUACUAGACGUUGGGUGUAAAAACUCAGUGUCGCAGCUAACGCAUUAAGUAUUCCACCUGGGGAGUACGAUCGCAAGGUUGAAACUCAAAGGAAUUGACGGGGGCCCGCACAAGCAGUGGAGCAUGUGGUUCAAUUCGAUGCAACGCGAAGAACCUUACCUGGGCUUGAAAAGCAAGCUAAAGCAGAUGAAAGUCUGUGUGCCGCAAGGCGAGCUUGUACAGGUGCUGCAUGGCUGUCGUCAGCUCGUGCCGUGAGGUGUUGGGUUAAGUCCCGCAACGAGCGCAACCCUUGUUCUUAGUUGCCACCGGGUAAUGCCGAGCACUCUAAGAAGACUGCCUACGCAAGUAGU